GUGCCGCCGCUCCCAUAUGCCGCCACCACCAGCGCCCGCAGAGCGCCCGACCCCGAGCUCCUCCUCCCGUGCGCCUCCUACCCGGCCUUUCUCGCGAAUCAUCCGGCGACCGGCGCCACCGCUAGCGACUCCCAGGUCACGCCGCCGCUCCCCUGCCUUCUCUCUCUCUCAUCUCCUUUUCUAUCCUUCUCUCCAGGAGAUCAGCGCCAAUGCCUAGUCCUCGAGCUCACCUUGGAGGUUCGAACGCCGCCACGGGACCUCCACUGGACAGAUCCGGCAGCUCCAUCCCGGAUCUGCGUGCCCUCCACCUCCUCUACCCGAUCCGGCGCCGCCCAACCCGCCAUGACCUCCACCAUGGUGCCCGCCGAGAUCCUGUUCUCCGUCGACGCACCGUCGUCGCAUGAGGACUUGGAUGCCUGGCUCGCUGACAACCUCCCCCAAAUCCUACAGGAGGUUCAGAUCUAAUAAUGCAGGUGAAUUUGGGCUUGCCGAAAUAUAGGAGUGUGCUACGUGCCGCAGCAGGUUUGGAUGCGGCAAUAAAGACCAUGGCUCGGCUUGGGGAGCAUCAAGCAUCGACUUAUGUGAAGAGGCCAAGAUUCAAGGAUUUAAAUUGUCAAGAUAUAUGGUUGUUGGGGAUUCAAUAUUGUGCCAUUGUAUUUAAAAUUUUGAAUGAGCUGUCUGCCAUUGUUUAUAUCACAUCUUCCUUUGCUAGACCACAUGAGCUGAUUCCAACUUUGGCCUCAAGUUGCUCCCGUCUAUGACAAGUAGUUAGUUUUAUGGGUUCAGGUAUUGGCAAGCACCAUCCUUGGUUUAGUUCACAUGUCUUGAAUUAUUUUGACCAUUUUGGUAACAUCAAACUGGGUUGCAUAGAAGUAUCUGCUAAUUGGGUUUGACCUUUUUGAGGAAUGCUACUACAACACUUCAAAACUACUAGGCCGUUUUCAUCAGCAGCAUACAUAUAACCACAUGAUGGAACUCUGUAAUACAAGAGUGUACGAUGCAUUCCUCAGAUUCUAAGGGAUACCUGUGGAAGGUCUAUGAUAGCUGAUUUUAGAAGAUGCAUUUAUUGGUCUUGGCAUUAUAGUGCACAUAGUCGCUGCUGCUGAUGAAAUACUGGAUAAUGACAAGGAUAAUUAGUUGUUACACGAACUCUAGCAUGAGUAUUGUUUAUUUGACAUUAAUUGGAUUGGAUUACACCUUUUUGUUUGCUUGAACAUCAGUAUUGCAGUUAUCUGGAUGGAUAGCUAGCAAACCAUUUUGUGCAUAUCUCAACGGCGAUGAGGUAGCCCUCUAUGUUGUUGUCGCUUGAUGUUAGUAUUUUUUGGAUUCAGAUUUGCUUUGUGUGACGUUCCUCAUGUAGGAAUCAGUUUCAAUGUGGAGAGGAUUAACAUUUUGUUUCAGUUCAGUUUGUAGGCCUUACUGUCUGCAGGGACGGCCCUGAGGGGGGCAGGAGGGGCGGUCGCCCCGGGCCCCCACCUUACAGGGGCCCCCACGCCUAGUAUGCAUGCAUUCGGCCGGUAGCCCAUGGCCUAAUUUUUCGCUACUGCGACGUGCGAUUGCCAGCCUGUAUGGGUAUCGCAUAGUCAAAGGGCACACGUUACGGGAGCCCGAGAGCUAUCUACGGUCGUUCUUUCAUCUUCUUUUGCUCGUUUCCUAAAAUUUUCCUUCGCGAUGCAACUACGCGACCACGAUCUAUCUGUACGCGAUGAAAGCGGCAAUCAGCGGCGGCUACGGUGCAGAGAUCGGAGAGCUUCGGCCAACGGAGAGAUUGUUACUCUGGUGCUCCGGCUUGGCGCCUCUUUGUGUGAUCUGAUCGCUUCUCUAAUGCUGCGCCUAGAGCUCUAGGGAACUCCUCCUUGGAUCCAACCAGGGCAUCAAUCGAUCACCAGUUAACCACUUCUUGUCUUGCCGGCCGGAACCUUUGUACCUACACGGAACUAUGGAAAGGAUUUGUGGAUGAGUUGAUAAAAUCACAAAGAUGAGCCAUUGAUAAUUUUUUUGAGAAUGCCAUUGAUGCUUGGACGAAUAUAGAGUUUGCGACAGUAGCUAUGGAUGGGCAAGCUAAUGGAAUACAUGGAGAAAAUGUGAGUGUAAGUGACCCUGAGAACACUCUUAACACAUUGGAUGCACGACACAGUCCGCCAGUUAAUUUUAGGUUAACUUUGCAUCACAUGUUGCUUUGCAUCGAGGGAUGUAGAAUUAUAUUAAGGUAAUAUGUACAGGUUACGUGACAUAAAUAAUACCUUAAUUUGCAUUCAAGUGUUAGCUGGUAAUAGUCCAAUAUAUAACAGAAAUAGCCAAUGUGUCUUUGGUCCCAUUGCACCCGAACUGAAUUUUAUAUUUUAAAAGUAAUGAGAAGAGUAAAAAGAAAGUGAAACUUUUACUUUAACAAAGAUGACUUCGCGUAGUACUAUAUAAAUGCAUGAAAAAUUUCGCGAAGGAAUGACUACCAUGGUAUCCUGGACAAAAAGACAAAAUUGAUAGUACUCUAUAAAUGUUACCAUUCACAUUUUUUGGGCCUGCAAUUAUUUUCGCUGAGAAUACCAUGAGAGUAGUUUCUGCCCGAAACUUUUUGACUCCUUUAGUUUUCUAAUAUUUUUUUCCAAUUCAGGUGCAUUUGCCCUAUGUUUGAAAUAUCCGCAUCCUAUAUAUAUAAUGAUCGUUAUUGUUAUGGUGUCUGUAUUAAUGGCCCCGAAUUUUAGUUUCGCCCUGGGCCCCCAAAAUCUCAGGACCGGCCCUGACUGUCUGCAAAUUCUUAACAUACUUUCAUCAUAUGUGCAUCCAUAGCAAAUACUUUGAUCGGAAUCAUAGACUGCUCCAAGAUUACGUCAGUUGCGUAAGUGUAGCUCCAGUUGUUGACAUAGAGGACUAGAAUUGUCACAUGUGUAGUUAUGUUUUACCAAUGCUACAGAGUAUCUAGCAGAUAGUACUCCCUCUGUUCCGAAAUAAUUGUCGCUGGGCAAUCCCAGUACAAAUUCCGCAACGCUAUGAAUCUUUUCCACUUUCCAGAUUUACCCUUCCACCUUAUCCGCUCGCUCGCUCGCACCGCUCGCUUGCUCGCUCUCCCUCGCCGGCCACCUUAUCCCCUUCCCUCGUCGCCUCUCCCUCACCGGCCUCUCCUCUUCGUGGCCGGCCACUCCCUUUCCUCGUCGCCGCCUCCCUCCUCUCCUCGUCGCCGGCCUCUUCCUCUUCCUGUCGUCGGCCUCUUCCACCGCCCCUUUCUUCCCACCACCCCGCCUUCACUCACACCGGUAAAAAAUAUUGAUUCUUUUUGCGUCUUCGACGAGCUUCUCUGCGACGGAGGCAUGGAUGUGUAGCGGCGCCAGAGUUGGAUACGGGCUAGGGGGCAUGAAUGUGGACUGGCGCCCAAGCGGACCUAGAGCGACGGCGGAGCAGCGGAACGGCGCCGGAGCCUCCACGUCGCCGUCGUGCACAUCUCGUUGUUGUCCUCACACAUCGACGCAUGAUAAUUUGAUCGAAAAGGGACGGCAUGCUGAGGUGUGCAAAAGACAGUUUGCUGAUGGACAGUUUGCUGAAGGAGUACUUAACCAAGCAUGCUGAGGUCCCGGUUGGUAUACUGCCAGCAGCCUUGCCGGUCCAAGCAAUCAAGAUCAUCAGCAAGUCAAUAACGGAGACGGUCGAGCACUGUCAUCACACUAAACCUGCAACACCAGUGAGAUGACUGAAGAUUGGGUUGUGGUUGGAGUGAGAGGAGAAGCAAAUCACUUGACCAGUUGAAUCCUUGGGUGUACAAGACGGCCGAGCUGUGGCAGGUGAAGGAGCCGCUGCCGCUGCCCGCGCCGAAGAAGCGCAACUGCUCCAUGGUGUUCACCCUCAACGAGAUGGAGGAGGCCACCGGCAUGUUCAGCGACAAGAACCUCAUAGGCAAGGGCGGCUUCGGCCGUGUUUACAGGGGCGUGCUCAAAGAUGGGCAGAUUCUCUUGAUUGGAGUGGAGAGGAGCAGAGACGAGAGGAUCAGCAGAAGUGGACAGCGCAGCGGCUGACCUUGAGCUCUUGAUUGGAGUGGGGGGAGGCGGCCGGCGAAGGAUCUGUGGCCAACAACGAAGGAUCCGAAGUUGUCGUGGAGCAGGCAGCCGGCGGGAAGGGCGGUCGGCGAGGGAGCUGCGGAUCUUGGCGCGGAAGGGCAGCCUAUGAGGGAGCUGCGGACCAUGGCGGGGAAGGGCGUCCGGCCGGCAAGGGAGCUGCGGACCGCGGCGGGGAAGGACGCCGGAGAUGCGGACGACGGAGGAGCCCGGCAAAAGGGAGCAGCGACGGCGAAGAAGCCUGGCGGAGGGGAGGAGCGACGGAGGAAGACGCCUCCCGAUGGAUCAAAUCGGGGGUAGUAUUGUAAUUUCACACUAUUUCACCUGGUCGGAAAGAUGCCCCCAGCGACAAUUAUUUCGGAACGGAGGGAGUAAUUUUUUACAUAACCUAGAAUGUUCUUCUGAACUAUAAUUUUGAAUGAGCCAUUAUCUGAGAUUUAAA